rnacentral:rRNA from 1 species
UACGUAGGGGGCGAGCGUUGUUCGGAAUUACUGGGCGUAAAGCGCGUGUAGGCGGUUGUUCAAGUCAGGUGUGAAAGCCUUGAGCUCAACUCAAGAAAUGCACUUGAUACUGGAUGACUAGAGGACCGGAGAGGAUAGUGGAAUUCCCAGUGUAGUGGUGAAAUACGUAGAGAUUGGGAAGAACACCAGUGGCGAAGGCGGCUAUCUGGACGGUUUCUGACGCUAAGACGCGAAAGCGUGGGGAGCAAACAGG